CAGCCGCCGCGGGAAUACGGAGGGGGCUAGCGUUGUUCGGAAUUACUGGGCGUAAAGCGCACGUAGGCGGCUUGGUAAGUUAGAGGUGAAAGCCUGGAGCCCAACUCCAGAAUUGCCUUUAAGACUGCCGAGCUAGCAGGUGAGAGAGGUAAGUGGAAUUCCGAGUGUAGAGGUGAAAUUCGUAGAUAUUCGGAAGAACACCAGUGGCGAAGGCGGCUUACUGGCUCAUACUGGACGCUGAGGUGCGAAAGCGUGGGGAGCAAACAGGAUUAGAUACCCGCGUAGUCCCUGUCUCUUAUAC
rnacentral:rRNA from 1 species